rnacentral:rRNA from 1 species
GUGACGAUAGCCUAGGAGAUACACCUGUACCCAUGCCGAACACAGAAGUUAAGCCCUAGAACGCCGGAAGUAGUUGGGGGUUGCCCCCGUGUGAGAUAGGGAAGUC